CGGGGGGUCUGAGGGGGUUUCUCUCCUCCCUUGUACUUGAUUGAUGAAUUAAGGUCACUGAUUAAUAAGGAACUCCCCUCACCUGGUCGUCUAGGGCUUAAUUUAUUUACAAUUUAGACUCCCCAAUUUCUUUGACUCCCCCCUAUCGCUGCAACUCCAGUACGGACUCGGGAGAGGCGAAGGUCGAGAGCCGUGCGUCUUCCGAAAAACGACCCCGCCAAGUCACACUGUUUCUUGACACAAUGCUUGCUUAACCCGGAAGCCAGCCGCACCAAUGUGUAAGAGGAAACACCGUACAUCUAGCGACUGUCUCAGCGUGCAUGCGCCCGGCCCGCCACAGGAGUCACUAGAGCGCAAUGGGACAAGGACGUCCCUGCCGACCAAACCCUCCCCUAACCCGGGCGAUGCUGGGCCAAUUGCACACACUUAACUGAAAUUUUUAAAUAUCUUCUCCAUUUGAGAAAAUGGACAAUUCAAUGGAUUUCAAUCAACAAAGAGGUAUUCAGAGGAGGAGGCAUACCAAGGAAUGUCAAUUGGUAUGUUAUGCAGAUCACAUGUACCAUUCUCCUCCCUUACCUCUUCAAUGAAUAUCCCAAAGGCCUCUAGACCCUCCCUACACCUCUGAAUAUAACAGGAAACAUGUUCAUUCACCAAAACUGUAAAAUCAUUCUGGCUAUGGAUACGGAGAACAUCAACACAUUAACAUCAACAGGCCAGAGGAUAUACCUAUUGGACUUGGAGCUCUGCUGGGAGUUUACCUCAUAUUUCAAUUUAUUUAUUCUGCUUUCCCACUAAACAUCUGAAUAAACA